rnacentral:rRNA from 1 species
AUUGAACGCUGGCGGCAUGCCUUACACAUGCAAGUCGAACGGUAACGCGGGGCAACCUGGCGACGAGUGGCGAACGGGUGAGUAAUACAUCGGAACGUGCCCAGUAGCGGGGGAUAGCCCGGCGAAAGCCGGAUUAAUACCGCAUACGACCUACGGGUGAAAGGGGGGGAUCGCAAGACCUCCCGCUAUUGGAGCGGCCGAUGCCAGAUUAGGUAGUUGGUGGGGUAAAGGCCUACCAAGCCGACGAUCUGUAGCUGGUCUGAGAGGACGACCAGCCACACUGGGACUGAGACACGGCCCAGACUCCUACGGGAGGCAGCAGUGGGGAAUUUUGGACAAUGGGCGCAAGCCUGAUCCAGCCAUUCCGCGUGCAGGAUGAAGGCCCUCGGGUUGUAAACUGCUUUUGUACGGAACGAAAAGGCCUGGGCUAAUACCCUGGGCUCAUGACGGUACCGUAAGAAUAAGCACCGGCUAACUACGUGCCAGCAGCCGCGGUAAUA